GUCGAGCGGACAGAUGGGAGCUUGCUCCCUGAUGUUAGCGGCGGACGGGUGAGUAACACGUGGGUAACCUGCCUGUAAGACUGGGAUAACUCCGGGAAACCGGGGCUAAUACCGGAUGGUUGUUUGAACCGCAUGGUUCAAACAUAAAAGGUGGCUUCGGCUACCACUUACAGAUGGACCCGCGGCGCAUUAGCUAGUUGGUGAGGUAACGGCUCACCAAGGCAACGAUGCGUAGCCGACCUGAGAGGGUGAUCGGCCACACUGGGACUGAGACACGGCCCAGACUCCUACGGGAGGCAGCAGUAGGGAAUCUUCCGCAAUGGACGAAAGUCUGACGGAGCAACGCCGCGUGAGUGAUGAAGGUUUUCGGAUCGUAAAGCUCUGUUGUUAGGGAAGAACAAGUACCGUUCGAAUAGGGCGGUACCUUGACGGUACCUAACCAGAAAGCCACGGCUAACUACGUGCCAGCAGCCGCGGUAAUACGUAGGUGGCAAGCGUUGUCCGGAAUUAUUGGGCGUAAAGGGCUCGCAGGCGGUUUCUUAAGUCUGAUGUGAAAGCCCCCGGCUCAACCGGGGAGGGUCAUUGGAAACUGGGGAACUUGAGUGCAGAAGAGGAGAGUGGAAUUCCACGUGUAGCGGUGAAAUGCGUAGAGAUGUGGAGGAACACCAGUGGCGAAGGCGACUCUCUGGUCUGUAACUGACGCUGAGGAGCGAAAGCGUGGGGAGCGAACAGGAUUAGAUACCCUGGUAGUCCACGCCGUAAACGAUGAGUGCUAAGUGUUA
rnacentral:rRNA from 2 species